UGGGGAAUUUUCCGCAAUGGGCGAAAGCCUGACGGAGCAACGCCGCGUGGAUGAUGAAGUCUUUCGGGACGUAAAAUCCUUUGAGCAGGGAAGAAGCGAGUGACGGUACCUGCAGAACAAGCAUCGGCUAACUACGUGCCAGCAGCCGCGGUAAUACGUAGGAUGCGAGCGUUGUCCGGAAUUAUUGGGCGUAAAGCGAACGUAGGCGGUCUUUUAAGAUUGGUCUUAAAGACUGGGGCUCAACCCCAGGAAUGGACUGAUAACUGGGAGACUGGAGGACGUCAGAGGAAAGUGGAAUUCCGAGUGUAGCGGUGAAAUGCGUAGAUAUUCGGAGGAACACCAGUGGCGAAAGCGACUUUCUGGGGCGUUCCUGACGCUGAGGUUCGAAAGCUCGGGGAGCAAAC
rnacentral:rRNA from 1 species